AGACGGUGCUGAGGAACCGAAGUUUAAACAGGUUUUAGUUUGCUCAAAUCCUGAAUGUCCGAAAGAGGUUGUGACUGCGACACCGAUUUUUAGGAUUCCGAUAAGAGUACAAGAUUAUGCAGCUAUUGCCUCUUUGACUUUGUUCGACCGUGAAGCUUGAAAAAUGUUGGGUAUGACAGCAAUUCAAUUGCUUGAGAAGUCUAAAGUGGACCAGGCAUCUUUGGAAGAGAAAACCAUUCCCUAUCAGUUUAAAUCUUUGAAUGAUAAAAAGUUUGCCUUCAAGAUUCAAAUUAGUCAAUUCAAUAUUGACAACCAUAUUGAUGGUUAUGUUGUUCAUAAGUUGGUUAAUGA